AGGCAACCAUGUAUCCACAGAGAGCGCUCUGCAUUCCAUCUUUGAUAGCUGUGCCAUAGGUUUGUCAUCAUUGACCUAGACUGUAUUCGCCUCCUCACUGUUUGCAAGAGGUGGAAACCCAGAUCAAGGGCAGACUAUGAAGACCUGAAUAAAGAGAAGCAUGUUUUAGAGAUAGUGUGGUGGAUGUGGUAGGUAUGACUUGGAGUAAGGAAAAUCUAACUUUGAAUCCAGCCUGAAACUAAGGAGCUGUGAGACCCCAAGUAAGUAAUUUUUCUCUAUAUGAUUCAAUUUCCUCAUCUAUAAAAAGGGAAGGGUGACU
rnacentral:lncRNA from 1 species